rnacentral:misc_RNA from 1 species
CUCACGUAUUCACAUACCCGGAAGCUGUCAUGAAGUGUACAGCCCGUUGGUGCAGCACCGGCGGCGUCGUGGCGGCGAUGGAGCGCGCGCAUCGUCACGUGCCAAGGCAAGCCUUUGUGAACCGCACUGCCACGGACGGUGAGGCGGAGCACUCGCACACACCCCGGUACCUCAUUCCGGACCUGCAGCGGUACGCAGAGCGGCAGCAAGAGCACCAGAACGCUCACAAGCAAUCGCUGAGCGAAUUGCCACGGCUGUAUGAACACGCCAUGAGCACCCCUGCCGCCGUGUCACCAUCCCUCGCCCAGUUCAUUCACGCCGCCAAGACCGCCUUCGAAAGCUCCUUGGCGUCCUUUCAGCAUCAAGCAUUGGCCUCGCAGUCUGCGGCCCAAUCGGCCGUCAACGACACCGCUAGGUGUCUGCCACAACCCCCUGUGCAACGGACUGGUGGUGCGAGCCGCAGCGAACUCGAGGCAGCUGUGCGCAGCUACAACCCAACACUCGAUCGGGCACUUAUUCAGCGGAUCGCCGCUCGGCUUGCGAUCUCGGACGCUCUCCGCAUCGCACGUCAGCUUGCUCGCUACCUUCAAGACUCUGCAGCUGUGGCAAGAGAUAAGGGGGAUGCCGGCUACGAUGACGAGCACCAAGUAACCGCAGCGCAGGCAGUGGAACUUCUUCGCCGCGCUGUGGAUGUGUGCCGUGAACGUUAUGUGCAGAAUUCAGCGGACAUGCGUACAACACCACGUCCCACGUCGCCCAGUCUCUGGGCCCUGACAUCAGCGGCCCGUGAAAGUGCUGGGAUUGCAGCGCGCCUUCACAACUCCGCCGCUGCCGCGACAAAACACGCACAUCGACGGCGUCGACAGCUUCAUCGCUGUUUCCUCCGCUACACGAGUGAUGUGCAGGUGAACGAGGUACUGCCCAAUGGCGCAGUCGUCACCUUCACGCACGCGACGCGGCCUGAGGAAGUUGGAAGCCGCACAGGUCCUGCAGAGAGCAAAGGGGGGGAGGGCAACGCCGACACCUCAGCAGCAGCAGCCAAGGCAAAACGAGCUCCGCCCCGCUUUUCGACUCCCGUAUCCUUCCGUGAGUCGCUGGAGUCGUGUCUCACCUCUUCUCCAUCCACUGUGCACCUGCACUUUGUGCUGUACCGUCGCGGCGUUUCCCUGGCAACGGCCAUUGCGGACAUCGUGGAAGCCAGCGAAGGACUUAUCUCCGCGCACAAUGUCAGCGUCAACAUUCACAUACCAGAGAAUGACGAGCACGUUGUUGUGCAGGCUUGCAGCGUUCGUGUGGCACUGCCGGUGUCGACGCAGCCUUGCGGCGUUGAAGACGCCGUGCAACACUGUCUGCACGCCGCCCGCGCCAUUGUGCAGAUCAACCUCGCGAGAGGGACGCCAAGGGUUGCCCUCCAGCUCCUUGAGUGCCGCACAGACGCUUGCGGGGAGCAGCACACCGCGUCGCAGGUGCUCGAUGAGUCGCCGAUGCGGCUGCAGUACGCCCUCCUCCUGCGCGGCUUUGAGCAACGUGGAGGGCCUGUGAACCGCCUCGACCAUGCCUCCCUGGCGUGCGCCAUGUGCGUCCCGAACUACUUCUCCCCGCAUCACUUCGGUGCGGCCGCCGUCCCUUUCUUCCGCACCUACCACGUCACGGAGGCCCUGGUGAAGCGCCGCUACGCGGAUGCGGCUGUCAUGAUGGCCUGCCUCGAGGUGGAAACCGUAGCUGAGGCAAGCACGGAGUUACCACCUUGGCUUGCGCGCGCGUUGCAGCUCUUGUGCCGUGGCGAGGACCGUGAAGGGGUGUGGCAAGCGUGGUGGAUUCACGAGGUACCAGCGGCUACGCGGCGACGCAUGGUUUGCGCGAAGAGCGAUCUGGUAUGGAAUGUGGUGGCGAGCCUCCGGCUUCAGGAGCUCGUGGCGGCGACGGGCGGAUGCCGUGACGUUCUGCUCGCGGCGGCACCGAAGCCUGGCGACUUUGUCUUCCAACCGGAGGAAGCAAGAGACAGUGGUGCGAGGUCAGCAACCCUCGCGCCGCUGGCACUGAGCGCGCCGGUAACGGCGGUGUACAGCCAGGCGCAGGCAGCUCGCUACAGCGUUCAUGACAUUGCGUUACCGCUUGUCUUGGACGCCAGCAGCGAAUUCGAGGGGUGUGAAAGCCUGGCCGUCAUCGAAGCGCAGCUAGGUUUUACCCAUGACCGUCGUCGCCAUUCGUCCCUGCUUCCGUCACAACAGCCGCGCCAAUCGCACACAUCCCUGCCUGCCGUCGCGCAGACAAACGAAACAGUGUUUCGCCCGCUCUUGGUAGAGGCGACCGGCUACCCUCGCGCCACUCGGCCGUGGUGCCGAUCCUUCCCGGAGCCGUCCGUGGGUCCUGCAUUUGGCCGCCCCAAGGCAGCCCUGGAGAGCAAUGCUACCGUUUUUUCCCUCGCCACGGACUGGGAUCUUGCGAGUCGGACAGCAGUAGCCCGCGACUACGCUUCCAAGUCACGCGGGCCGCGCGCGUGUGUGUGGCCGCUAAGUAAGCGUGGUCGCGCGCUCACGGAUCGCCUGCCUGCUGGCCUCAUGACGGUGGCUUCGGCGGAUGGAUCGUCGUUGCUAGGCGGCGCAAGUGCGGCAAACUAUCAUGGGUCCCGUUGCCUCGCCAUUCAUUGCACGCUCCCAGCGCGCGUGUCUCUGGCUAACUUUGUUUCGGAGUUGGCCGCGGUGGAGGACCUGCGUGACUCGCAAGCGUAGAAAAUGGAGCAGUGACACACACACACACACACAGGUGCACCUUUGCCGGUUUGUCACAUACACCUACGGGCUGUUUCUACAAACACACAGCGCUUGCGUUGCUGCAUGCGAGCAUUGCUUGUGAAGAAGCGGCAUCCGACAGCAGUAGGUGCGCUGCAGG